GCACGGGUGAGUAAUGCAUGGGAACGUGCCUCUAAGUGGGGGAUAACUACGGGAAACUGUAGCUAAUACCGCGUAAUAUCGAGAGAUUAUAGGUGGCCUCUGCUUGCAAGCUACUGCUUAGAGAUCGGCCCAUGUCCCAUUAGCUAGUUGGCGGGGUAACGGCCCACCAAGGCUACGAUGGGUAGCUGGUCUGAGAGGAUGAUCAGCCACACUGGAACUGAGACACGGUCCAGACUCC
rnacentral:rRNA from 1 species